rnacentral:lncRNA from 1 species
UAGUCAAAUUAGUGCUAAAAUAACCUCCCUCAAUCUUAAAGACAUUAUAAAUUAUCUAUCUACUGAAUCUUCUGAGGAAUUGUGUAUAUCUCAAGAUGAAGAAGGAUAUUAUUCUGAAGACUCUGAGAAAGAAAUUAAUUGAAUUACAAAGAAUAUGGACAAUCUAAAGGUUAACAGACUUUAUGAUUACAAACCCUUAAGACAGGCCCCUAGGAU